AGGAUGAACGCUGGCGGCGUGCUUAACACAUGCAAGUCGAACGUGAAGACGUAGCAAUAUGUCUGAAAGUGGCGAACGGGUGAGUAACACGUGGGUGACCUGCCUCGGAGUGGGGGAUAACCAUGGGAAACUGUGGCUAAUACCGCAUGAGCUUGAUCGAUUUGGCAUCGAUUAAGUAAAGCUUUAGUGCUUCGAGAGGGGCCUGCGUCCGAUUAGGUAGUUGGUGAGGUAAUGGCUCACCAAGCCGAUGAUCGGUAGCUGGUCUGAGAGGACGAUCAGCCACACGGGAACUGAGAUACGGUCCCGACUCCUACGGGGGGCAGCAGUGAGGAAUAUUGGGCAAUGGACGCAAGUCUGACCCAGCAACGCCGCGUGGAGGAUGAAGGUUCUUGGAUCGUAAACUCCUUUUGCAGGGGAAAGCAAGGAUGGUACCCUGAGAAUAAGUCACGGCUAACUACGUGCCAGCAGCCGC
rnacentral:rRNA from 1 species